GCGCCCGAUAAACAUUCGUGGCUACCAACUGCCCUCCGAAGGCAGGGGUUGCUGGUUCGAUCCCAGCCGGGCGCGCCA
rnacentral:tRNA from 1 species